UGGGAACCCACCUCCCUGCCCCCCCACUCCAGCCCCCCAAAUUUUAAGUACAAUCAAACCAGCCGUCAAAGGAAUAACUUUCUGAUCGCUCCUGGUGCCAUUUCAAACACCCCCGACGGCACGUCUGUUUCUUAGGCAAAAUAUCAAUCACCGUUUGAAGUUAUUGGCAGAAUGGAGUGAAUUCACCGUGAGCGAGCAGUCAGUGGACAUGUCGGAGGCAACGUGAAAAACAGAUUCCAAGAAGGAAGUUCUAAGCCUCUCAGACAUCAGCCGCGUCUCCCUGUCCCCGCCCCACGGGCGAGGCUAUUCCAGCCCUUGCUAUCACUUCCUUUCGAAGCAGCAUCUUCCAGAAGCAGAAAAUCCCAAAUUCUGGGAAGACGAGGUUCUGACCAACUGUUCUGCGAAGGGAGCAGGGGAAGCUUCUGGAGGUGUCUUUUCUCUGAGUGUCAAGACGGGGCACAGCAAAGCUGCGGAAGGCAGGCAGCCUGGCUCUGGAUUCGAAUCCAGAUGCAGCCACUUGCUGUAGGUGUGGUGUCUGCGGUGACCUGGCCCCUUGCCUCAGCUUCUUCACAGUAAGGCAUAGUAAGGCACGAAUCAACAACAGUACCGGCCUCACAGGACUGCUUCAGGGUGAACUCAACAGGGACAUAGGUACUAGCUCUCUGAACGCUAACUGGUACACAGCAAGUGCAUAAUAAAUGGUGACCAUCAUGACAUGGCAAAGUAGGCAUCCUCGCCUGACCCAGCGAGCAUGGUGAAUGUGUCAAGGACAUCAGGCGCACGUUUAUUAACGAUCUGGAGUGGCUGAUACUGAGCAUGUAAAUUCAAUUUAUAGAAUCACAACAGGUACGGAAAGAGAAAGCAAGAGACAUGGUGAGAAAACUCAAGAAACCAGAAACAUCCAUCAGAAGACAGAUCUAGAUGGGAGCUCACGGUCCAGCUGCAGAGGCUCAAGGGGCCGACUGGCUGGGGAUGAGCUCUCCUGCCCUCGAGGGGCGGAGCUGCGGGACAGUCACUCGGAGCUGGACCCCCACGAGGAGAGGCCUCCCUGCACUGCUGAGCACCCACACGGGAACCCUGUGGGCUGAGGAGGAGAGCGCCUCGGGGCUCAUCCCUCAAGAGCAGAGGGUUUGUCCACGUGGCCUCCUUGUCUCCCUACUUCCUCUUUUGCAAACACAACCCCAUUCUAUUCUGCACCCUGCAGCCAGAGCAAUCUUUAAAAAUAAUCAAGUCUCUGACUUCUCACACUAUGCUCAGGUUAAAACCCUGCGAGGCCCACCCCACCUCACCCCUGCACCUCCCAUCUCCUUCAUCGCUCACCAUGUGCCAGCCAGCCUGGCCUUUUGCCUGCUCCCACCCCAGGGCCUUUGCACAUGCAGUUUUGGCUGUGGGAAGACUUUCCCUGGGUCUGUCAUCCCACAUGUGCUCUCAUCUCUUCUCUUACUCUGCAUCGCCUGGUGGCCUGUCUUGGUCACGAGGGGCAGUGCAGGGUAUGGUGAGGAGCAUGGAUUAUGCCGGAUGUGGGAGCAGCUGUGUGUCUCCACUUCCUUGUCUGUACCAUGGAGUGAACUAUGGCCCUGUCUCAUUGGGUUGUUUGAGGAUCAUAAAGAACCCAGAAAGCACCUGGUGUGUAGGAAGCACUGAGUAAGUGUUGGCUGCUAUGAGAAACCAUCUUCCUUCUAAGUGCUUGCUUGUUCAUCGUCAAGUGCACCUCACCAGCAAGAAAGUGCCUCAAUGACCCUUAUUUAUCCUGGUGCUGUAUCCAUGAGGGCUAACACCAUACCUGACACAACAAGUGGCCCUCAAUUAAUAUGUGAAAGAGGAAGGAAUCCAUGCAUAAUGCCCGCUCCCCAGCACUCAUAUCUUUCCACCAAAGCCAGAGACCAGAGGAAGGCAUGGAGGUGAACGGAAACUGAAGGGUCUUUCAAAAACUAAACCUGCAACUACCAUCCGACCCAGCAAUUGCACUCCUGGGCAUUCACCCCAGAGAAACGAAGACUUAAUGUGCACACAAAAACCUGUGCCUGAGUUCACAGCAGCUUUACUUUUCAUAGCAAAAAAAACAAAAACAAAAAACUGGAAGCAAUCCAGAUGUCCCUCAACAGGUGAGUGGUUAAACUAACCAUGAUGCGUUCAUACCUUGGAACACUACGCAGCAACAAGAAGGAAUGAACUAUUGAUACCUACGGCAACAAGGAGACGUCUUCAGAGAAUUACGUUAAGUGAAAAAAGCCAAUCUCAAAAGGCUACAUAGUGUAUGACUCCAUUUCUAUAACACAUUUAAAAUGACAACAUUAUAGAAAUGGAGAAGAGAUUAGUGGUUUCAUGGGUAAGGGGGUGGAUACAGUUAGAAAAGGGUAGAAUGAGAAGUUCUUGUGAUGGGACUGUUGUGUCUUGACUGGUGGUUACACAAAUCUAUGCAUGCAAUAAAAUUGCAUUGAACGAAAACACACAGACACACACACUCGAAUGAGUGCGUGUAAAACUGGGGAAAUGUGAGUAAGGUUGAUGGUUUGUGACAAAUGUCAACUGCUGGCUUUAGCACUGUACUACAGUUAUGUAAGAUGGUACCACUGUGGGAAGCUGGAGGAUAUCUACAUAGAACCGUCUCUGUAUUAUUUUUUUACGACUGCAUGCUAACAAACAAUUGUCUCAAAAUAAAAAGUUUUCUGAAAACAA